UACCAGCACCCCGAGUGGUCGGGACGAUUAUUGGGCCUAAAGCAUCCGUAGCCGGUCCUACAAGUCUUCCGUUAAAUCCACCUGCUUAACAGAUGGGCUGCGGAAGAUACUAUAAGACUAGGAGGCAGGAGAGGCAAGCGGUACUCAGUGGGUAGGGGUAAAAUCCGUUGAUCCAUUGAAGACCACCAGUGGCGAAGGCGGCUUGCCAGAAUGCGCUCGACGGUGAGGUGCGAAAGCGUGGGGAGCAAACAGG
rnacentral:rRNA from 1 species